GAUGAACGCUGACAGAAUGCUUAACACAUGCAAGUCAACUUGAACUUCGGUUUGGGUGGCGGACGGGUGAGUAACGCGUAAAGAACUUGCCUCACAGUUAGGGACAACAUUUGGAAACGAAUGCUAAUACCUGAUAUUAUGAUUAUAUGGCAUCGUAUAAUCAUCAAAGCUAUAUGCGCUGUGAGAGAGCUUUGCGUCCUAUUAGCUAGUUGGAGAGGUAACGGCUCACAAAGGCGAUGAUGGGUAGCCGGCCUGAGAGGGUGAUCGGCCACAAGGGGACUGGGACACGGCCCGUACUCCAACGGGAGGCAGCAGUGGGGAAUAUUGGACAAGGGACCAAGAGUGUGAUCCAGAAGUUCUGUGUGCACGAUGAAGUUUUUCGGAAUGUAAAGUGCUUUCAGUUGAGAAGAAAAAAAUGACGGUACCAACAGAAGAAGUAACGGCUAAAUACGUG
rnacentral:rRNA from 1 species